GCCACAUAUGUAUAUAUAUAUAUCACAAAUCCCUUUGUCUAUAUCACAAUCCACAUACAUAUCACACAUGAAACAUAUCGAAGUCCACAGAUAUCACAAAUCCACAUAGAUAUGACAAAUCUAACAUUACGUCCAACAUAAACCAUAAGUUCAUAACAUAAACCACAAGUUCAUAACAUAAACUACAAGUCCACAUGAAUAUCACUCCUCGAAGUCGCUAGCGCCUCACCCCUAGUGCUGUGACUCUGACCCGUCGUCGCCGUGGCCUCCGUCGUGUCCCGAGCCCCCAUCUGGCCAAGCCGACCAGAGUGAGUGCCUCCCAGGGUGUGGAGAGCUCGCACCUGCCCACGGCGCCCACAUGGCCUGCCCUGGCACCGACGGGUACGGGUACGAGUACCCGGGGCGCGGAGGAGGGCUGCCGGACAACCCGGGGUGGCCGUGCUGCGGAUGGGCACCAGGCCACGUGUGCUGCGAGACGGUGCAGUGGCGAGGUGGCGCCGUGCCAAGGUGCUCCGAGUCCCCUCCGACAGGUCCUACUCUGCAAAACAAGAAAAACAACACUAUAAGUACAAAAUUUCGGCAGAACCUCCCCUGCACGGGAGGUUUCCAAAACCUGCAAAAGAAAGCCGGC
rnacentral:lncRNA from 1 species